CCUACGGGGGGCAGCAGUAGGGAAUAUUGCUCAAUGGGGGAAACCCUGAAGCAGCAACGCCGCGUGGAGGAUGAAGGUUUUCGGAUUGUAAACUCCUUUUGUUAGAGAAGAUAAUGACGGUAUCUAACGAAUAAGCACCGGCUAACUCCGUGCCAGCAGCCGCGGUAAUACGGAGGGUGCAAGCGGUACUCGGAAUCACUGGGCGUAAAGAGCGCGUAGGCGGGAUAGCAAGUCAGAUGUGAAAUCCUAUGGCUUAACCAUAGAACUGCAUUUGAAACUGUUAUUCUAGAGAAUGGGAGAGGUAGGUGGUAUUCUUGGUGUAGGGGUAAAAUCCGUAGAGAUCAAGAGGAAUACUCAUUGCGAAGGCGACCUGCUAGAACAUAACUGACGCUGAUGCGCGAAAGCGUGGGGAGCAAACAGGAUUAGAUACCCCAGUAGUC
rnacentral:rRNA from 1 species